UCCUGAUAGCACGCUCUCCUAAAUAGAGCUCCUAUACUCCAUCUGUGAAGAGAGGAAUCCUGCGGGUGGAUAUGACGUACUCUACUCCAGUCGGGUACCCAUCCUCAAAGCCAACUCCCAAAUUCUCUCCAGAGUAGGGAAUCCACGUGAUGACAUCCGCUGUCAAUAGCUCCAACUGUAGGCGACAAUGAGUAAAACCCUCAGCACCUGCGCUGGUAUGGAAUGAUGCCAUCUCCGUCCUCGUGGAUAGGUGUCUAAACCUAACAUUCUCACAGGACGCAAAUAAGGGAGCCUCUCAUAGGCCCAAAACUGCCAACACAAAGGCAAACAUUUGUUGUCAGUCAACACUCU
rnacentral:lncRNA from 1 species